UACGUAGGGGGCGAGCGUUGUCCGGAAUCAUUGGGCGUAAAGAGCUCGUAGGCGGUUCAGCGAGUCGGCUGUGAAAUUCCGAGGCUCAACCUCGGAACUGCAGUCGAUACUGCUGUGACUCGAGUCCGGUAGAGGAGAAUGGAAUUCCCGGUGUAGCGGUGAAAUGCGCAGAUAUCGGGAGGAACACCAGUAGCGAAGGCGGUUCUCUGGGCCGGUACUGACGCUGAGGAGCGAAAGCGUGGGGAGCAAACAGG
rnacentral:rRNA from 1 species